rnacentral:rRNA from 1 species
GACGAACGCUGGCGGCGUGCUUAACACAUGCAAGUCGAACGGAAAGGCCCUGCUUUUGUGGGGUGCUCGAGUGGCGAACGGGUGAGUAACACGUGAGUAACCUGCCCUUGACUUUGGGAUAACUUCAGGAAACUGGGGCUAAUACCGGAUAGGAGCUCCUGCUGCAUGGUGGGGGUUUGAAAGUUUCGGCGGUUGGGGAUGGACUCGCGGCUUAUCAGCUUGUUGGUGGGGUAGUGGCUUACCAAGGCUUUGACGGGUAGCCGGCCUGAGAGGGUGACCGGCCACAUUGGGACUGAGAUACGGCCCAGACUCCUACGGGAGGCAGCAGUGGGGAAUAUUGCACAAUGGACGGAAGCCUGAUGCAGCAACGCCGCGUGCGGGAUGACGGCCUUCGGGUUGUAAACCGCUUUCGCCUGUGACGAAGCGUGAGUGACGGUAAUGGGUAAAGAAGCACCGGCUAACUACGUG